rnacentral:rRNA from 1 species
UACGUAGGGCGCAAGCGUUGUCCGGAUUUAUUGGGCGUAAAGAGCUCGUAGGCGGUUCGGUAAGUCAGGUGUGAAAUCUCCACGCUCAACGUGGAGGCGCCACCUGAAACUGCCGUGACUCGAGUCCGGAAGAGGAGAGUGGAAUUCCUGGUGUAGCGGUGAAAUGCGCAGAUAUCAGGAAGAACACCCGUGGCGAAGGCGGCUCUCUGGGACGGUACUGACGCUGAGACGCGAAAGCGUGGGGAGCGAACAGG